GUCUAGCUGAAGAGUCUCAAAUAAGACGAAACUCUCGUCCUGGAU
rnacentral:hammerhead_ribozyme from 1 species